UUUUUCUUUCAAAAAAGAAAAAAAGAAGGAGGCAAGUGUAUACCCAGGGGCGUAACACCCCAAUGCUAUUUUGUAUAAGUCAGGCUAAAAAGGAAGGACUUUAUGGAACAUGACAGCUCCCUUUAAGUAUUUUGAAGGCCAUCAUAUGGAAGACAGAAUAAACUCAUUUGGAGUCAUCUCAGAAGAUGGAGGAACAGAGCUAGAAGCUGAAAAGAGCAGGAGGUGGAAGGGGAAAAGAUCAUGGCCUCAUGAAUUCAGAUCUUUCUGACUUCCUGAUUUGGAGGCAGUGCCUCUACUCCAGAACAAAACUGGCCAGUCUGACCCAAAUGACCGUCUCAAGAAACCAGCCAAGAAAUCAGGGUCUGAAGUUUCCCUUAUUAAAGUCUCCUCUUGGACUUGAGGUAUCAUUAGGAUGGUAUGUCAUGGAGAGAUCAUUGAACUUGGAGGCAGAAGACCUGGAUUUCACCCCAGAUCUGUCAGUUCAUAGCUGUGUGACCACGGGCAAGUCACUUCAGUCAUCCAAGCCCCAGUAUCCCCAUCUGAAAGUAGGGAUAGUAAU